rnacentral:lncRNA from 1 species
CUCUCUCUCUCUCUCUCUCUCUCUCCCUCCCGAUAGUUUCAGAAACCCAUUCGGGCAGCCCCAUUCCAAGCCACCCCCAACGCCGUCUCAAGCCACCCCGACCCUCCGGAACGGACCCAGCAGCACCGGCCAGCUCCCGCCAUCAACCUCAGCCCGUCCGCCGCCCCUGCUGCUGUCUGGAGCCGCUGGAAAACGCAGCAGUUUUGGCCGAUUUUCCAACUUCAGUUUCUCCCUCAUCCGGCCACCAAAUCAGUCGUGUGAGGUAUCGAUUUCUAGCUAUUUUUCGUGCUCUAACUGAUGGUUGGCUGGGUUUAGAUCGAUUUCACCCCUAGGUUGCUCAAUUUUUGAUUUGAAAUUGCCCGAACUUCGGCCGCCGGAAUCGGCCAUUUCCGGCCGGUUUUUGGGGGUUGUUCAAGAACAAAAGUGACUCCAAAUGGGGUGUUUUACCUAGGGUAGGAGUUUGGAGUCUCGGUUCCAAGAUUUUUUUCGGCACACCCGAUCGCUUUGGACACCCGAUCGGUCCGCGCGUGUGGCGGCGCGUGGGCCAGGGUGGAGGCACGGCUCUGGCCAGUUUUGAGACCCUCGUGCCAUCACGAGCGCGCAGGAUUUCGCGGAUCUCAAUUCGGAGUCCGUUUGUGCCCCGAACGGAUUUUCCAUAAUAUGCGAUUCCCGGUUGCAGCGUCGUCUAGCCGUUGGAUCGCACCCCAUUUCGGAUAUGUUGUUCUACAUUGUUUCAGGAUAGCGUAGGAUUUGACGGAUUGCAAAUCAGAGUCCCGGAUACUCCGGAAUCGCGAACCCUGGGGCUAGGGUUAGGGUUUUAAUCGAUAGCGCGAAUUUGGCCAAUCCGACCGUCCAUUUCGGACCAAACUCGCAGGACAUGGGUUUUACACAGUGAGGAACCUCUAGAGAAUCCCAGAUCGGCCAUCGGAGAUCGUGGACCCCACGGGGUUCCGGAUCGGCCGGUCUAACAGUUUAUCUCUUUGUAAGGUUUCCGGUCUUUUAAGGCCAUUCUGGACAUAGAGUUGACUUUACAAUGAGAGCACGUAUUUCUAGGAGCCGGGGGUCAGGGUAUUUAAUUUAAUGUUUUUAUUGAGCAGUUUAGUAAUUGAAUAUUCAUGGUUAAACAGGCAUCAGAGGCCAAAAUGAACCACAGGAGGGACCUUCAAGAGGUCCAGCUAGCUCGGACCAGCAGUGAGUGGACCUUUCUUUUUUUUAAAUGAUUUUCUAAAUCAGUUUUAUUCAGUGUGAUGUAUUCCUAUGAAUUUAAAGAUUCCUUCUAUACAUUGCUUAGCUGAUUUUGCUAAAGUUAUUUGGACAGCAGACUUUGAGAUUUAUGAUUCAGAAAUAUCUAGCUCAGAUUUUAUCAGAAUACAGAGGAUAUCAGAUUUUAUCCAAGAUAAUUAUUUUAGACCACCAUGAAUUAUAGAAAGCAGAGUUUGAGUUUUCUAUUAGAUAAAAAGGGCAGCACAGUUAUAGAUUGAAUAAAGAUUCAGUUAUUCAUCAGAUCUUUCAGUAAUAUUAUGAUAUUUAUAUUUGAUAUUUUCUCAUCAGUUAUAUUUUCUUAAACCACUGUGGGUACCCGGUUACAGAAACAGGUUGCCGUCAAAUAAGACGAUGUCUACGGACAUCCAGAUUGCCUUCGGUUUAUGUUGCCUUCGGUUUAUGUUGCCUUCGGAUAUGAUGAUGUCUACAGACAUCCCGUUUACUUACCGUUCAGUCAGUGCACUUGACAUUUGCCUCACGAGUUUGGGGACACCCGGACUGUGAGUGCCAGGAAUUGCGGAUCAGGCUGACUACGGUCUCCUGAAUCCUGCCAGGAAUUGCGGAUCAAGCUGACUACGGUCUCCUGAAUCCUGCCAGGAAUUGCGGAUCAGGCUGACUACGGUCUCCUGAAUCCUGCCAGUUUGCAGCUCGGAUACACUAUGUGUCGCCGAGACCUGCCAGGGGAAUUGACGAAUUUACAGAGGAAUUGACGGAAAUUAAAAGGGUACACCCAAUUGGUAACUUUAGAGGAAUGUCAGUGCAAUUAUGCAAAUAUUGAUUUCAGUGAUUUUACUUGAGUUUCUUAAUAUCGAGCAGUAACGGUAUAUAUAUGUUUACCUAAAUGCUUUGAACUUAUCAUAAUUCAAGUGCAGUUUAAAUAUUCAGUUGUAUGAUUAUCAUUAUUUUUACAGUGGGGGUUAUUAUGUUCAUAUACUGUUUUCUAGAACUUUAUUUUGGUCCACUCACACUUUGAAAUGUUUUGCGCCCCCCAGGCAGUCGAGUGUGCAGGAAUCCACCACCAGGCCUUCUCCUAGCUCCCACGCUAUUUCCAAGCUGUAGGAUUUCUUGUAACCUACUUAAAUUCUUGUAAACAAUUAGUAACUGCUCUGAUAUCUGGUUGGAUUAGAUAACCAGAACUGGUGAAUAUUUAGUUACCCUAUUCUGGCAGUUGGUGUGGAUUUAUCAGUUUGUUUGACAGGUGGAAAAUUUGGGUUUAGUCAAAUUACAGGGGAGUCUCUGCCGAAAUUAAAGCAGGAGUCCAGAGAAAGUUUUAACCAUAUUUAUCUCCAGGAAGGGUAAAAAGGUCAUUGUGCCCGACAAGUGCCAGGUGUUGGACACGCACAGGGCUUGGCUCGAAUUCCAAAGCGGAAAUUGGGUCGGGUCCUGUCAAUUUGGUAUCAGAGCAUAGGUUUUACUUCCUGUAGACUUCGCACUAUGUGCAUCCUCGUUCUCUUUUCGAGUUGGGCCCUAAUGGUGGUGGUAUCCGUAAGACAAUUGGACAGAUAUCUCGAUGUAAGGAAAUGAGAUUUCUAAGUUGAACAGAAACUGCACCGGUAUUUGAACCGGUAGAGUAAUGUUUUGUUAAGAGGCUCGUCAAGAGCCGUACCUACUGUACCAAGUAGGCAGGAAGAUCCAAAUGUCCAGUAGACCUUGGGAGUUGAUAACUCAGGGUUUAGUCAGCCAGAGAUCCAUCCGUGAGAUAGGUGGAUCCAGUAAAAAGGAUUGAGAGCUAUAAAUUGGGAUAAUGGUGGUACCUAGUAGUAAAAAGAGGAUUAAAUUGAAGGAAUAGAGCAGGACAUGGAGGUCCUAGUUGCUAUACAGAAGAAUAAAGUAUUGGUGGGAUUUAGUUAAGAAGUGAUACCAGGAUCCUUUGAUUAAUACGUAACAAGUAUUUUAGAGCCGAAUUUAAUAGCUAGUCUUAUCUGUAAGUUUACAGAAGGUGAGGAUACAAGAGGUUUUGCAGCAGAAUAGAGAAUAAUAAUUGGAUCCGAGUAUAAAAAAAAAAAAGGGGUUCCAUACACUGUUUUCUACUAAAAGAGAUCUGAAAGUAAGAGGUAAUACCUAUAAGGUUAAAACCCUCCCCCCCCCCCCCCCCCCAAGAUAUUGUGAUCAGUUAGUGGUUAAUUAACUUUGGUGCCGUGAUAAUGUCUGCCUCAGCCAGAUAAUGGGUAGACCAUGAGGUGCACUCUGUGCACAGUAUUUGGAUAUAGGUAAUACUAAUCAGGAGGAAUUUAAGAGGGGUGUCUACAGUGGUGAUUAUAGUCUCCGAUCACCGAAUGGCCGCAGAUACGGAAAGUACCGAUCUGGAUUUAGUUCCAGUGAAAGUACCAGUCAAGAUAGUCAUAUUGGCAAUUGUUCUGGGGCUGGUAUAGCCAGGAGUGUUGGAAGACAAUUGUUAUCAGUCUCUAACAGGAGAAGUUGCCCUAUUGUGCCAAGUGUAGAAGGCAUUAUUCCGGGCCCUACUAGAGGAGUACUAUGGGGGAGAAUAAGAUUAUGGAUAGUCUAAGCCUUUCAAAAGGGAUUGCCGCUGUUCCCUUAGUAUUAAAAGAUCAUUUCUGCAGCAAAACAAAUAUGCAAGGUAAGUUACCGAAAAUACCACAGUUUAUGGGAGUUCUGUUUAGCGAUGGGCCCAGAGCAGUAAGGCUAGUUGAGGAAGCAGUCAACCAUGAGGUUAUGUGGCAACAGUUUUAAGCCGCAGGUAGACAGUAUAUUAUGUCUCAGUAGGAAGCAUGAGCAUUAUUUACUGUAGAUACAGAUUGAAUUCCUCUCCGGCAUGGUUGACUGGAGAUCAUCCUAGGGUUGGAUUACUCUGACCAGAUACAAUGUUACAGAGUUACUUUUUAUUGGGAGAUUGGGUUUAUGUUUGAGCUCGCUCCAGGAAGGGAGCCUUUUUCUCCGGUAAAGUAUAAAGGAAUAUUAAUAAGUUGAAUGAGUUAAAGACUAAUAAGGAAUAUUUGCCGGAAAUGAUAACGAAGAAGGUCAUUCAGCUUAGCGCUUUCCUCAGUGAAGUGUUCUAGUGUUAUUUAAGGAAAGGAGAUGUCAUCAUGAAGUUAUACAUGGACACAAGGUAGCAAGAUAAGAUCACAGUACAGAAAUAAAAUCCCUUAGGAACAGAGAAUUAUAAAAAGAAAGAAAAGAUACAAAAAUUGUGAUAUUGAUUGCAAGGUAAGGUAAGCAAUCAGGGAAGGAAGCUGAUGAGAGCAGACAACCAGCUCAUCAAUCAAGGAAGGAAGCUGGUGGGAGUAGAAAACAAGCUCUCAAUUCUCCUAGUCUAGAAGGACCUCAGGAGAUUAGAGCAUAAGGCCACCUUCACGAUUCCCUGAUCUUGCUGAAACAUGAUCAGUGAUAGUCUUGCUUCCUGAGUGGAUGAUAAGAGAUAGUCUUGCUUCUCGAGCAUAUUGAGUGCUUAUUGAUAAGAAAAACAAGUAGAUAUCGCAUCACUGGUAUGAAGUAAAUUGGAUGUCUUCUGUAAAGAAAGUUUCAUUAGUAACACAUUUAUACACAAGUACAAUGAAGAGGUAGAAUCAGUGAAUUUCAAAUUAACCAUAGGAAAAUUGCGAGAUUCUCGGGGUACUUUUGACAAAGUAGCUCCGUGAAAUCCGUAAAGCAAGAUCGGCUUGACGAAGAUAAUCCGCGGAAAUGCCGAAAGUACCGACAGCAUUAUUAGAGGCCACGUGAAGUUUUGGACUCUUGUGAAAGAGAAAAAUAAUGUGGGGAUUCGAGAAGAUUUUGGAAUCCGAAAAGCUGCCACAUUUUCAUCUAUAGAUAUUGCCUUCGUAAAACUUGAUUGAGCAACAGCAUUUCAGCUCAACUUUCUUCAGUGUUUACAAGACUUUCUUAGAAACCUUCUUAGAAUGGCUUCCUCUUCUUCCUGCCCAAAUUAUUUCAAUUUAAAUGAUGUUCCCACAACAGUUAGUGACGCUACAGUUUGGCGUCCAUCCUUUGUAUCCAACAAUCGUCAUCUCACAGUUAAGGAUUCUGUGAUGAUGAAUGAUGCUACUGCUGUCAUAGUAGCUAAGAAUUGUAUUACUCCAAUGGAUGAAAUGCUAAUGACAGGGAGGUCUGAGGAAGAGGCCAUGCAUGACUCAAUGGCUUUUAGCAUUCAGAGUGCUGUUUCUGUUUCAAACAUGGCUGAUCGUUUGCGGGCUAGAGCAAACGAGGUUCAGCAGCUAACAACUGAAAAUUCGUCUCUUCAAAGAAGGCUUCAUGAGUCUCAACAGGAAGUUGAGAAACUCAAAGGAGAGAACAACUCCUUGUUGAAACUGGUGAGUUCGUACUCCGAUGAUACACUGAGAAGGCUAAACAUGCUGCAGGUCUCCAAUGAAAGAAUUUUGGGAGACCACGAGAGACUUAUGGCUAGGCUUAAGAGGCGUCGUCCUCUUCCUUCAGAGGCUUCCAGAACCUAAUGUACUUUAUAGAUUCUACAGAACCUGCACCUUCUUUGCAGGUGGAAAAAUCUAUCUGUUAUAUGUUCCUUUCGUACUAUAAUAAUUGAGCAGGUUAAGUUCAGAAUCUUGAUUUGAUUUUUACGAGUAAAAGGUUGAAUUAGAUGUUAUGAAAAGAAAAAGUUUAAAACAGAAAUCUUACAAGGAGCUUCUUAUGAUGAAAGGAACAGUAGGAAUUAUCGGUAAGGAAUAGCUCCGCAACAAGAAUCAAUAAUGUUCUUAUAAUCACUUUCGAUUUCUGAAAGGAAGAAGCAGUAACUUACAAUGGAUUGGGUGUUCAGUCUCCUUGAACAUAGAGAAAGCAGGGUGGAGUGUAGGAAAUUAAGGAUCGAUUCAAUAAGUCUGCGUAUGUUCCGCAGGUGAGAACCAAGUAUAAUCUGAAACAAACUGGCAAGGAUUUUCACUGAUAAGAUCUUGUAAUGCUAUGGAAUACAACUCCCUAUGAUUUAGAUCAAGAAACCCCGGUUAAGAUCCAGUUGAACUCAGCUAAAGGAAGCUUUCAGAAAUUAAUUACAGUCUAAUACUACAAUUCACCCCGGACAGAUGCUCAAUUUAAGAGAAUGACUCAAAUUUUAGGGGAAUUGUUGGGGUGUUGUAUCCUAUAGUUUUGGAGUGAUUGGGGUUACCAUUUGAGAAGGUGUAUACCUCAAAUGACAAUUGUCAGCUAAACUGAACUUCCUUAGCUUACAAAUCUCAAAUUGCCACUAGUCUCUAUAAUUAAAAUGUUUCUAAUUGCUACUCAAUAUGAGGCAUGAUAUAGACCACUCAAGUGGAAAGAUGGAAUAGAAGACAGAGUUUCUUGGUACCUGGAAGUGUUGUACAAACUACAGAAACCUAUUGGAUUAACUGGUAAAAGCCUCAAGCGACCCAGGAUUGACAGGAAGUUAUACAAAUACUAGAAGAAGGAUCUUCAGUUGGGUAUUCUUCAAUUUCUAUCACCUAUAGAAGAGGUAGUGAAAUUGAAGGAAACAAGGAAGUCAAAUCCUAGCAUUAUCAGACCCAAUGAGAUUAUAGAAUGUGUGGGAAAUAAGCAGUUCAGAUUUUGGUAUAGGAAGUGUUUAGCAUAGUAACCCCAGUAGCAAAUACAGGAGCAGUUCUUCUCCCCUUCGAAUGACAGGGAGGUAAAUUUCGAGGACGAAAUUUUUAUAAGGAGGGUAGAUUGUAAUAACUCAAAACAAAAUAUCCUAAAAUUAGUAUUAAUUUAUUCUAGCAAAAAGACGACUUUGUCCUCACCUCUUUUAAGAGGGGGAAAAAUUGACUUUUUGACCGAGAAGGAAUUUGGAAAUUCCGUUUACGCCGUUGCGUAGAGCACGGCGAAACGAGUUCGUAAACACGGAGUAGACCCGAAUCGGAGUUGUAACGAAGGAGUUAUGGUCAAAAGAGUCUCAGUGGCAGAACCGUAAAUAUUUCGAAGUUGAAUUAAUAAAAAGAAAAUCUGUCAGCUCUCUCUCUCUCUCUCUCUCCCUCUCUCCCUCCCGAUAGUUUCAGAAACCCAUUCGGGCAGCCCCAUUCCAAGCCACCCCCAACGCCGUCUCAAGCCACCCCGACCCUCCGGAACGGACCCAGCAGCACCGGCCAGCUCCCGCCAUCAACCUCAGCCCGUCCGCCGCCCCUGCUGCUGUCUGGAGCCGCUGGAAAACGCAGCAGUUUUGGCCGAUUUUCCAACUUCAGUUUCUCCCUCAUCCGGCCACCAAAUCAGUCGUGUGAGGUAUCGAUUUCUAGCUAUUUUUCGUGCUCUAACUGAUGGUUGGAUGGGUUUAGAUAGAUUUCACCCCUAGGUUGCUCAAUUUUUGAUUUGAAAUCGCCCGAACUUCGGCCGCCGGAAUCGGCCAUUUCCGGCCAGUUUUUGGGGGUUGUCCAAGAACAAAAGUGACUCCAAAUGGGGUGUUUUACCUAGGGUAGGAGUUUG